CCGCUUGACGCUGGCGGCGUGCCUAAACAUGCAAGUCGAACGCGAAAGUUUCUUCGGAAAUGAGUAGAGUGGCGCACGGGUGAGUAACGCGUGGAUUAUCUACCUACUGGUACGGGACAACAGUUGGAAACGACUGCUAAUACCGUAUACGCUGGUAACGGGAAAGGGGGCCUCUUCUUGAAAGCUCUCGCCAGUAGAUGAGUCCGCGUUUCAUUAGCUAGACGGUGGGGUAACGGCCUACCGUGGCAACGAUGAAUAGCAGGCCUGAGAGGGUGGCCUGCCACACUGGGACUGGAACACGGCCCAGACUCCUACGGGAGGCAGCAGUGGGGAAUAUUGCGCAAUGGACGAAAGUCUGACGCAGCGACGCCGCGUGGAGGAUGAAGGUUUUCGGAUCGUAAACUCCUGUCAAGAGGGAAGAAACCUAUUAUGGAUAAUACUCAUAGUAAUUGACGGUACCUCUAGAGGAAGCACCGGCUAAUUCAGUGCCAGCAGCCGCGGUAAUACUGAAGGUGCAAGCGUUAAUCGGAAUCACUGGGCGUAAAGCGCUCGUAGGUGGCUUUGUAAGUCAGGUGUGAAAGCCCACGGCUCAACCGUGGAAUUGCACUUGAUACUGCAUCGCUAGAGUAUAGGAGAGGGAAGUGGAAUUUCUGGUGUAGGAGUGAAAUCCGUAGAGAUCAGAAGGAACACCCGUGGCGAAGGCGACUUCCUGGACUAUUACUGACACUGAGGAGCGAAAGCGUGGGGAGCAAACAGGAUUAGAUACCCUGGUAGUCCACGCCGUAAACGAUGGGUACUAGGUGUUGGGGGCUUGACCCUCGGUGCCGUAGUUAACGCGUUAAGUACCCCGCCUGGGGAGUACGGUCGCAAGGCUGAAACUCAAAUGAAUUGACGGAAGGGCGAA
rnacentral:rRNA from 1 species